rnacentral:rRNA from 1 species
AUUGAACGCCGGCGGCAUGCCUUACACAUGCAAGUCGAACGGCAGCACGGGGCAACCUGGUGGCGAGUGGCGAACGGGUGAGUAAUGCAUCGGAACGUACCUUUCAGUGGGGGAUAACGUAGCGAAAGUUACGCUAAUACCGCAUAUUCUGUGAGCAGGAAAGCAGGGGAUCGCAAGACCUUGCGCUGAUUGAGCGGCCGAUGUCAGAUUAGCUAGUUGGUGAGGUAAAGGCUCACCAAGGCGACGAUCUGUAGCGGGUCUGAGAGGAUGAUCCGCCACACUGGAACUGAGACACGGUCCAGACUCCCACGGGAGGCAGCAGUGGGGAAUUUUGGACAAUGGGCGCAAGCCUGAUCCAGCCAUGCCGCGUGAGUGAAGAAGGCCUUCGGGUUGUAAAGCUCUUUCGGCCGUGAAGAAAUCGUAUGGGUUAAUACCCUGUGUGGAUGACGGUACCGGAAUAAGAAGCACCGGCUAACUUCGUGCCAGCCGCCGCCGUAAGAC